rnacentral:rRNA from 1 species
CCUACGGGAGGCUGCAGUGGGGGAUAUUGCACAAUGGGGGGAACCCUGAUGCAGCGACGCCGCGUGGGUGAAGAAGCGCCUCGGCGCGUAAAGCCCUGUCAGCAGGGAAGAAAAUGACGGUACCUGAAGCAGAAGCCCCGGCUAACUACGUGCCAGCAGCCGCGGUAAUACGUAGGGGGCAAUCGUUAUCCUGAUUUACUGGGCGGAAAGGGGGCGCAGACGGCGAUGCAAGCCAGGUGUGAAAGUCCGGGGCCCAACCCCGGGACUGCUCAUGGAACGGCGUGGCUGGAGUGCAGGAGGGGGAGGCGGAAUUCCUGGUGUAGCGGUGAAAUGCGUAGAUAUCAGGAGGAACACCGGUGGCGAAGGCGGCCUGCUGGACUGCAACUGACGUUGAGGCCCGAAAGCGUGGGGAGCAAACAGGAUUAGAUACCCGGGUAGUC